GUUGGGAUGGCUGCUGCGAACGUGGAUUUGGAAGAGUUGACGAGUGACUUCGCUAUUCUUAACAACAACGACGGCCUGUCCAGCAGUAGCAGCGAUAGAUAUGACGAUGGAAGACUGGAUACUA
rnacentral:ribozyme from 1 species